CGGUACAUAGCAGGUCCUGAGGUAAUAGUACGCUGUCAUGGGGUGUCGGGGGUCGGAGGUUCAAAUCCUCUCGUGCCGACCA
rnacentral:tRNA from 1 species